rnacentral:rRNA from 1 species
AUUGAACGCUAGCGGGAUGCUUUACACAUGCAAGUCGAACGAGUGGCGGACGGGUGAGUGAUAUAUCUUAACGUGCCCAGUAGCGGGGGAUAACUACUCGAAAGAGUGCCUAAUACCGCAUACUAUUGGCGCUGCCGAUAGCGGAUUAGAUAGUUGGUGGGGUAAAGUCUCACCAAGGCAACGAUCCGUAGCUGGGUUGAGAGGACGACCAGCCACACUGGGACUGAGACACGGCCCAGACUCCUACGGGAGGCAGCAGUGGGGAAUUUUGGACAAUGGGGGAAACCCUGAUCCAGCCAUCCCGCGUGUAUGAGAAGGCCUUCGGGUUGUAAAGUACUUUUGGCAGAGAAGCGGUAUCUGCAGAAUAAGCACCGGCUAACUACGUGCCAGCAGCCGCGGUAAUUC